rnacentral:rRNA from 1 species
CCCAGUUCGGAUUGUAGGCUGCAACCCGCCUACAUGAAGUUGGAAUUGCUAGUAAUCGCAGAUCAGAAUGCUGCGGUGAAUACGUUCCCGGGCCUUGUACACACCGCCCGUCACACCAUGGGAGCCGAUAAUACCCGAAGUCAGUAGUCUAACCGCAAGGGGGACGCUGCCGAAGGUAGGAUUGGCGACUGGGGUGAAGUCGUAACAAGGUAAC